AUCUAAAAUACUCUUGUAUUGAAUUAUACUAUUUAAGGACAUCAUGUUACUUGGAUCCUGAAAAUAUAUCGAAAGUUAUUGCAGCGUAGAGAUGGUAGAAGCUUACA